rnacentral:rRNA from 1 species
CCUACGGGUGGCAGCAGUGGGGAAUAUUGCGCAAUGGGCGAAAGCCUGACGCAGCGACGCCGCGUGAGGGAUGAAGGUCUUCGGAUUGUAAACCUCUGUUAGCAGGGAAGCACGGUCACUGUGCUAAUCAGCAGUGAAUUGACGGUACCUGCAAAGGAAGCACCGGCUAAAUCCGUGCCAGCAGCCGCGGUUAUACGGAGGGUGCGAGCGUUGUCCGGAUUUUCUGGGUGUAAAGGGCGUGUAGCAGGGCUGACAAGUCAGAUGUGAAAUCCGGGGGCUCAACCCCCGAUCUGCAUUUGAAACUGUCGGUCUUGAGUAUGGGAGAGGCAGGCGGAAUGCGUGGUGUAGCGGUGAAAUGCGUAGAUAUUAGGAGGAACACCAGUGGCGAAGGCGGCCUACUGGACGACAACUGACGGUGAGGCGCGAAAGCGUGGGGAGCGAACAGGAUUAGAUACCCGAGUAGUC